rnacentral:rRNA from 1 species
UACAUGCAAGUCGAGCGAAUCUGAGGGAGCUUGCUCCCAAAGAUUAGCGGCGGACGGGUGAGUAACACGUGGGUAACCUGCCUGUAAGAUUGGGAUAACUCCGGGAAACCGGAGCUAAUACCGGAUAACAAUUUGAACCGCAUGGUUCAAAUUUGAAAGAUGGCUUCUCGCUAUCACUUACAGAUGGACCCGCGGCGCAUUAGCUAGUUGGUGAGGUAACGGCUCACCAAGGCAACGAUGCGUAGCCGACCUGAGAGGGUGAUCGGCCACACUGGGACUGAGACACGGCCCAGACUCCUACGGGAGGCAGCAGUAGGGAAUCUUCCGCAAUGGACGAAAGUCUGACGGAGCAACGCCGCGUGAACGAUGAAGGCCUUCGGGUCGUAAAGUUCUGUUGUUAGGGAAGAACAAGUGCUAGAGUAACUGCUAUCACCUUGACGGUACCUAACCAGAAAGCCACGGCUAACUACGUGCCAGCAGCCCCGGUAAUACGUAGGUGGCAAGCGUUGUCCGGAAUUAUUGGGCGUAAAGCGCGCGCAGGCGGUUUCUUAAGUCUGAUGUGAAAGCCCUCGGCUCAACCGUGCAG